ensembl:lncRNA
CAGGGGUGCGUGGGCUGGAGCCAGGAAAAUCCCCAUCUCCUCUGACCAAUUGCAGUUUAUGAAAGAUACCGAUUACCCCCCCAGGGAGCUCAUCUUCUGAUUCAGUGCUCAACUUGGCACGCGGGCAGCCUUGCUUUAACGGACCGGAUAGGUCAGCUCAAGGUGCCUCCGUGGACUGCCAAGGUGGCACACAGGGUUUGGUGUGGGGGAAGACACGCUGCUGUCCUUCAAGUGCAUCCUAAUCAUCUGUCAGCUAAAAGCUCUCCCCAUGACCAGAUGGGACCGUCCUUUCUUGGAACACCACCAGCUAGUCAACACCUGUCUGAAGGCAACCAUUAAUUUUUCAUCCAGCACUGAAUUCAUCCAUCCCCACCACACCGAUCUCCUAAAUGGAGCAAUUUCAUUUUCAAUGCAUGAUAUUUCGUGCUCGGAAAUUACCAGCUGUGUAUUCAGGAGCACUAAUGCUAUUCUGCUACUACAGUGCAGGUUUCUCAGAUUGAAAGCUCUGUCAGCCAAAGUGUUUUAAUUUCUGCAUAUUAAAGACCGGAGC